rnacentral:rRNA from 1 species
CGAGACGACGCUGGCGGCGUGCUUAACACAUGCAAGUCGAACGGUGACGAGGAGCUUGCUCCUCCGAUCAGUGGCGAACGGGUGAGUAACACGUGAGUAACCUGCCCCAGACUCUGGAAUAACAGUUGGAAACAGCUGCUAAUACCGGAUACGAGACGGAGAGGCAUCUCUACCGUCUGGAAAGUUUUCGAUCUGGGAUGGACUCGCGGCCUAUCAGCUUGUUGGUGAGGUAAUGGCUCACCAAGGCGACGACGGGUAGCCGGCCUGAGAGGGCGACCGGCCACACUGGGGCUGAGACACGGCCCAGACUCCUACGGGAGGCAGCAGUGGGAAUAUUGCACAAUGGGCGAAAGCCUGAUGCAGCAACGCCGCGUGAGGGAUGACGGCCUUCGGGUUGUAAACCUCUUUCAGUAGGGAAGAAGCGAAAGUGACGGUACCUACAGAAGAAGCACCGGCUAACUACGUG